rnacentral:rRNA from 1 species
UACGUAGGGUGCAAGCGUUGUCCGGAAUUAUUGGGCGUAAAGAGCUCGUAGGCGGUCUGUCGCGUCGGCUGUGAAAUCCCGAGGCUCAACCUCGGGUCUGCAGUCGAUACGGGCAAACUAGAGUAUUGCAGGGGAGACUGGAAUUCCUGGUGUAGCGGUGAAAUGCGCAGAUAUCAGGAGGAACACCGGUGGCGAAGGCGGGUCUCUGGGCAAUACCUGACGCUGAGGAGCGAAAAGUGUGGGGGAGCGAAACAGG